CCUCUUUAUCACUGCAUAGUAUUCCAUUGUACCACAGUGUGAUGGUUAAUUUUAUGUGUCAACUUGGCUAGGCUGUAUGUCCAGUUAUUCAAUCAAACACUAAUUUAUGUGUCUCUGUGAAGGUAUUUUGUAGAUGUGAUUAACAUCUAUACUCAGUUUACUUUAACUAAAGGUGAUUACCUUUGAUCAUGUGGGUAGCCUCAUCUAAUCAGUUGACGGCCUUAAAAACAAAAUCUGAGAUUUCCCAGAGAGGAAGAAAUUUGGCCUCAAGACUAUAGCAUCAGCUCCUUCCUGAGUUUCCAGCCUGUUGGCCUGCCCUACAAAUUUCCGACUUGCCAGCCCCUACAGUCAUGUGAGCCAAUUCCUUUCAAUCUCUUCCUAUUUCAAUAGAUAGACAGCCAAUAGGAUAUAGAUCCUCCGGUUUCUCUGGAGAACCCCGACCGAUACACACCGUUUGUCCAUUCACCUAUUGAAGGAGCAGGCCAUCUUGGUUGUUUUCUGUUUGGGGCAAUAAUGAAUAAAGCUGCUAUAAACAUUCACGUGCAGGAUUUUGUGUUUAUCUAACUUUUCAGUUCACUUGAAUAAAUACUUGGGAGUGUGAUUGCUGGGUUAUAUGGUAAGUCUAUGUUUAACUUUAUAAGAAACUGUCAAAGUGUCUUUUAAAGUAGCUAUACUAUUUUGCAUUCCCACCAGCAAUGAAUGAGAGUUCCUGUUCCCCUGCAUCCUCAUUGGUAUUUGUUAUUGUCAGGUUUUUGGAUUUCAGCCAUUCUAAUAAGUGGAAUCUCAUUGUUGUUUUGAUGUGCAUUCCCCUAAUGACAAAUAAUUUUGAGGGUAAUUGUAUUUUUAAUUUCCCUUUUUCUAAUUAUUAUUAAGGUUGAGUUUAUUUUUCUGGAUUUACUGGCCAACUGAUUUUUCUUUUCAUGAAGUGCCUGUUCAAGAUUUUGCCUGUCUCUUAUCUUUUUCUUAUUGUUUCUUAGAACUUCUUUAUGCAUUCUGGGUAUAGGUUUUCUCCGAUGGUAUGUAUCACAAAUAUUUUCCCUUACUUUAUGGUUUGCUUUUCACUCUUUAUAAGGCCUUUUGAUGAACAGAAAACUUGUCUUUGAACUAGAGCAUUUGCUCUAUUUACAUUUAAUUUAAAUACAGACAUAUUGGAUUUAUAUCUAUCACUUAUUUUGUGCUUUCUGUUUAUUCCAUCUGUUUUAUUUAUUUUUCUCCCCUUUCUCCCCUUCAUUGACUUAUUUGGUAUCAUUCAGUCUUUCCCUCUACUGCUUUGAAAGACAUAUACUCUUUUUUAAUCUUCUUAGUGUUUUCCUUAGAAAUUAAAAGAUCAUCCUUAAUUUACCAAAACCUAAUGUAGUAAAUAUCUUUAUCCUCCUCUUGAGCAAUAAAAGGACCUUCAAACACAUUUAUCUUCCACUCCUAAAUUGCAUGCUAUUGUUACUGUGUAUUUUAACACUGUCUUUUAAAAAAACUUUCUCUCACAGUAUAAUAUACUGCAGAAAUUUUCACAUAGAAAAACGCUGACCCGAUGAACUUUACAAACUGAACACAUCCAUGUUAUCAGCACUCAGAUCAAGAAAGAUAACAUUAUCAGCACCCUGAAAGCUCCUCUUCAGUCAGUACUAUGACCUGCCAAAUGGUAACCACUAUCGUGUCCUCUAACAACCUAACGUAGUUUUGCCUGCCUUUGUACCUUAUAAAAAAGGAAUCAUACAAUAUGUAUUUACUUGUGCCUGGCUUCUUUUGCUCAACAUUAUGUUUGUGAGGUUUACACAGAUGGUUACUACCAUUGUGAUUUUGCUUAUUGCUUUGAUUGGCAUCUAGUUUGAUAUUAAUAUGGCCGCUUCAGCUGUCUUCUUUUUUUAAUUUUUUCUUCUUUUUUUGACUUUUCUUUCUCCAGUCUUUGAUUCAGGAUUCGGCUUUCUUUUGAUUAAUGUUUUAAUAGUAUAUUAUUUCCCAUUAUUUUACUUUUUUUUUUUGAGACAGGGUCUCACUCUGUCACCCACGCUGGAGUGCAGUGGCACAAUCACAGCUCACUGCAGCCUCAACCUCCCCAGGCUCAGAUGACCCUCCCACUUCAGCUUCCUGACUAGCUGGAACUACAGGCAUGCAGCAUCAUGCGGGUAUUUUUUUGGUAGAGACAGGGUUUCACCAUGUUUCCCAAGCUGGUCUUGAACUCCUGGGCUCAAGCAACGCUUCUACCUCCAAAGCGCUGGGAUUACAAGUGUGAGUGAGCCACCCUGUCUGGCCCAUUGGUUUACUUUUUUUUUUUUUUUUUUUGAGACAAAGUCUCACUUUGUCACCCAGGCUGGAGUGCAGUGGCAUGAUCUGGGCUCACUGCAACCUCCAUUUCCCAAGUUCAAGCGAUUCUCUUGCCUCAGCCUCCCAAAUAGCUGGGAUUACAGGCACCAGUUUAGUAGAGAUGCGGUUUCACCAUGUUGGCCAGGCUGGUCUCGAACGCCUGACCUCAAGUGACCUGCCCGCUUCAGCCUUCCAAAGUGCUGAGAUUACAGGCUGGAGCCACCGCGCCCAGCCCCAUUUGUUUACUUUUAACCUAUCUAUAUCUUUACAUUAAAAUGGGUUUCUUGUAGAUGACAAGUAGUGUGUCUCGCUUUUUUCUCUAAUCUGACAAUCUUUUUUAACUGGUGUGUUUAGACUAUCUACAUUUAAUGUAAUUAUUAAUAGAGCUGAAUUUAAAUCAACCACUUUGCUAGUAUUUUUCUGUUUGUUCCAUCUUUUCUUUGUUCCACUUUUCUUUUUUCUGCCUUCAUUUGGAUGGAGUAUUUCUUAAAUUCCAUUUUCACUCCAGCAUUGUCUUACUACUCAUACCUAUUUUUAAAUUGGUGUGGGGGGUGUGGUUCCUAGAGUUUAAAAUAUGCAUCUUUGUCACAGUCUACCUUCAAAUAAUAUACAUGCAUAAUAUUACAUGCCUUCGCACAGGUGUAAACAUUUUACAGCAACAAUAUACUUUCAAUUCCUCCUGACCAUUUUUUUAUGUUAUUGCUGUCACACAUUUUACCUUUAUAUAAACUACAAACCCCAAAAUACAAUGUCACAAUUUUUGCUUUAGACAAUUUUCUUUUAGCGCAAUUAGAAGAAAAAAAAAAUCUUUCCACUUACCUUCAUUAAAAAAAAUCUCUAGAGCUACUCAUUUUUUCUGUGUAUAUCUAAAUUUUGUCUGGCAUCGUAUUCCUUCUUCCUGAACUUCUAACACUUCUUGCAGCUCAGGCCUUCUGGCAAUGAUGUCUCUCAGCUUUUGUUUAUCUGAAAAGGUCUUUAUUUUGCCUUCGCUUUGGGAAGAUAGUUUUUACUGGAAAUAUAUUUUUGGGUAACAGUUCUUGUUAUUGUUUUCUCUUUCAGUACUUUGAAGAUGUCACCUAACUGUCUUCUGGUUUAUGUAAUUACUUAUGAGAAUUCUUCUACAGCUCUGAUCUUUGUUCCUCUCUAAGCAAUGUACCUUCUUUUUUUCCUUGGGGGUCUUCAAGAUCUUCUCUUUUUUGUUUAUCUAUUAUGUUUCUGAGGAUGAAAUAUGUCGAUUUUCUGGUUGGUUUUUGCUUUCGUUUUGUUAUUUAUUCUUCUUGGGGUUCUCUUAGCUUCUUGGAUCUGUGGUUUGCUGUGUAUGUUUUUCAUUAUUUUUGGAAAAUUCCUAGCCAUUAUCUACUUAAUAUGUCUUGUGUCCCAUUCUCUUUCUCCUCCUUCUUGGGAUCCAAUUCCACUUAUUUAGACUGUUAAAUAUUGUCUCAUAACUCAUGCAUUCUCUGUGCUGUUUUAUUGUUGUUGCUGCUUUGUUUUUACUCUUGUUUUCUUUUAGUUUGGGUAAUAUCUACUGACCAUCUUCAAGUCCAUUGACUUAUUCCUCAGUUGUUUUGAGUCUUCUGACAAGCCACAGAAGGAAUUUUUCAUCUCCAGUACGGUGAUUAUAUUGUCCACUUUUUCUAUUAGAUUCUAUAACAUAUUACUCCUAUUUGGUUUAAAGUCCCCUUAUGAUAGUUCCAACAUAUGGAUCAUGUCUGCAUCUGGAUUUAUUGAUUACCUUGUCUCUGGACAAUGGGUUGUUUGUUUCUUGCCUUUUUUUGUGUGUUUUUAUUUUUGAUUGAAUGUCAGACAUUGUCGAGCAGUAGACACUGAGAUAAAUAGUUAUUACACCUGGAAAAAGGCAUGUCUCCUGUUCUGUCAGAUCAUUAGUGUGUGGAAUUGAGUCAAUCUAGUCAGGAGUUGAGUUGGGUUUGGGUUUUGUUGUUACUAGGGUUAUCUUCAGUGUUUUGCAGUCUUCGAAUUCUUCUAGAAUUGCCUCAGGUUUAGGACUGGAAAUGAGAUGCUGAAGGAUUUUUCUCAGUGAUCUCAGGCUUCAGCCAUCUCUGUACUCCUGUACCACAUAGGGGCUUCCUCUCCACAUUCUUGCUCUUCUCCCAGUAGCAGACUGAUCUUGCUUGUUACAAAUGCUUGCCAGGCUCAUCGUGGGGACAGGGAGGCAUUCUCUUUGCUGUGUCCCAGUCUCAGUGUUAGGCAGGCCCUGUGUGCUUGGGCCUUGGUGGGGAGAGGGAGGUUUGUUCAGGAUUCCUGCCCCUCCUCCCAGUGGAAGCCAAAGUUUGCCUCAUAUCUGUGCAGAGUCUGUACUGGAUAGGGUUUCCGGCCCUCUUCCAUUCGUAAGAAGUCUCUAGUGGCAUUUGUUUAGGAUUCUGGGCCUGGAAGAGUUUCCUUUUCUUCUAUCCUUCACCUAUCAGCAAUGGAAUCUUGCCUGUGCCCAUGCCCUUGAGGGUAACAGGGUUUGUUACCUCUCCCCUCAUACAUUGGGGUUAAUUUUUUCCAUAUGAGAGCAGGGUUUGGGCAGGGAGACAGGGCAGUGUGUCUUUGCUGUAGUCAUUUCUGAACUCUCCCUGCACAUAUGCACUACCCAAGGCUGCUCUCUACAAUCGCUCAGCCUUUCCCUAGUUGUGAUCAUCAGUACUUGAUGAAAGCCCAAGGAAAAGGGCCUGAGAGUAUACUAAAACUUUCCUCUGGGACUCUAGACUGCCAAGCUAGCCAACACUUGGCUUUUAGCCUUUGUUAAACUUUAAGCUAUUUUCUUCUCUACCUGUAUGGUGGUCAGUGCCUCUUCCUAUGCUCUGUUACAAGUGACCCAAUCCCUAGAUCUCAUCUCUCCUUGGAGGUGCCUGUCCCCCUUUGGAAUUCAGGGUAUUUGGUUGUCCUCUGACCUCAGAUCUCUGAUGGAUUCAAGAAAAGUUAUGAUUUGUAGUUUAUCUGGCUUUUUCUUGCUGGGAUGGGAGCAAUGCUUUUUUUAGCUUCCUAUAUCUUGGGUGGUAGUAAAACCUCCCUCCUACAUUCUUUCAUUUAUUUUUAUUUUUUUAUUUUUUAAGAGAUGGGGGUCUCACUAUUUUGCCCAGGCUGGUCUUCAACUCCCGGGCUCAAGCAAUCCUCCUGUCUCAGCUUCCAGAGUAGCUAAGACUACAGAUGUGUGCCACCAUGCCUGACUCUCCCUCCUGUAUUCUUUUUUUUUUUUUUUUUUUUUGAGACGGAGUCUCACUGUGUCACCCAGGCUGAAGUGCAGUGGUGUGAUCUCUGCUCACUGCAACCUCCGCCUCCCAGGUUCAAGUGACUCCUUGAACUGGAGUCCUUGACUCCUGCCUCAGCCUCCCCAGUAGCUAGGAUUACAGGCACCCGCCACCAUGCCCAGCUGAUUUUUUUAUUUUUAGUAGAGACAGGGUUUCGCCAUGUUGGCCAGGCUGGUCUCGAACUUCUGACCUCACGUGACCUGCCUUCCUCGGCCUCCUAAAGUGCUGGGAUUAUAGGCAUGAGCCACCACUCCUGGCCCCUCCUGUAUUCUUAAGAAAGCAAACAGGCUUCACCUCUUUUGCCAAGUCCUUCUCCCUCCUUACUGCCCUCUGAUCUGGUUCCUCUCUGCUCCCCAACUCAAUUCUCAAUUCUUUAUUCCCCAAAAGAUCCUAUCUAGCAUUGUAAGGCCCUCUAUAAAGGGCAAAGAUGGGGAAGGGAGAGAAGAAAUAGGGUGGAGAUGUGCCAGUUGGCAGGGGUUAGUUAGAAGAAGGCUUGAAUUCUCAUACAUUAAUAAGUCUUGUCCUGUCACACUUGUAAAUAAUAGCGGUAACUGGGAUGAGACACAGGUCACUAACACAGGCUGGUCCUCCCCCAGCCAGUCCUAUGAGGGACCCAGCAGUCUUCCCCUUUAAUUUCUCUAUUGCUGGAUGACAGGCCAAGUGGAUUCACAUGAUAAAGUAUUGGAAGUGAGAGGAGCAAAGUAGGGAGAUGAUGAGAAGUUGCUGAAUAGCUUGGGGGUGGGGUUUUCAGGGAGUCUGAGAAGAGAGGAGCCAAACCAGACCUAGGAUAGAAGUGGACAGGAGGAGAAAGUGGACUCAGUGCUGCAUGGACUGCAUAUUAAUUUUAUUUAUUAUUAUUAUUUUUUUGAGAUGGAGUCUUGCUCUGCCGUCCAGGCUGGAGUGCAGUGGCGUGAUCUCAGCUCACUGCAACCUCUGCCUCCCAGGUUCAAGUGUUUCUCCUGCCUCAGCCUCCCGAGUAGCUGGGAUUACAGGCUCCCACCAUCACACCCGGCUGAUUUUUAGUAAAGACAGGGUUUCACCAUGUUGGCCAAGCUGAUCUCGAACUCCUGACCUCAGGUGAUCCACCCACUUCGGCCUCCCAAAGUGCUGGGAUUACAGGCGAGAGCCACCGCGCCCAGCCUGGACUGCAUAUUUAGAUUCAUUUUUCUCUUCGAGAGAAUCAAGCGAAGAAUGGUGUCUUCCUGGGCUUUUCUGUGUAGGGGUGCUUCUUAAACACGAUGCGACUCUGAGACUGAACCAGGAGUGUCUCAGCUUCCUUAAGAGUUACAUUGCAGGCUCCCGAGGUAUGUGCCAGAACUGUGUUAAGUACUUUACAGAUGAAGAAACAGGGUCAGAGAUGAUGGGUGACUUGUCCCCAGUCACAGCUAAUAAGUGACAGAGUUUGGACAAAAAUCUAGCCAGGUCUGAUGUUCUAGCCUAAGGUCUUUCAGACAGCUCUUCCCUGGGAAGCCACUGACCCCUGGCUCAUUCCUGCCCCCUCAUCCUUCCUGCCCCAGUAUGCAGGGGUAGGCCUUCCCUCGGGGCCUGGCUGAGUCUAUACCCUAGCCAGCCCCGCCAUAUCAGCCUCUAGAGACAGCCUUCCUGACACUCCCCAGACAGCCAGGCCCCAGGGCGUGCAGCCAAGCGGAACCUCUCUGGGUGCCCCCAGCCUGAGCUCUGGGUGUGCUGCUCCCAGUCACAGCCCAGGAAUGUGGGCAUCCAAGCAUCAGCAGCAGACAUGCUCGCUGGCUGUCAGCCGAACCAGGGCCCCUGAAAACUGACAGGAGCUGAAAGAACCAUUAGACAGGAAGGCUGGACUGAGAGGGCAAAUUUCAAGUCACCUGAGCUGUGCAUGGCAACGCAAAGCAGCUAAAGCUGGUAAUGUUGGGAAAGCCACUGCCUGAUGGGCCUCCGUUUCCCCAUCUGUAGACUGUGGAUGAUAUCUGUUGGCCUGCCUGUUUCACCAGGCAGCUGUGAGAACAUAAAUGUGAUUGAUUGCAUCACCUGAUUAUAUUGCUACCUCAACCCAUCUCAAAGACCCACAGGGGAAACUGAGGCUCUGAGAGCACACAGAUGAUACCUCGGUUGGUAAUAGGGCCAGGCCAGGAAUCCGGGCCUCCGGGCUCAGCUCUCACUGACUCAGUGUCGGACCCUGGGUAGAUCUCUCUUCUCAGAGCCUUGGCUUCUUUAUUGUAAAACGGAGGAACUGCCACGACAGUGCUUCUCAGGCUUAGUUGUACUCACGUAGCACUGGGCCCUUGUUAAUCCACGGAUUCUGAUUCAGCAGGUCUGGGGCGGGGCCUGAGAGUCUGCAUUUCUAACCAGCUUCCAGGGUCUGAUGCUGCUGGCCCUGGGGCCACAUUUAAGAGCUGGGGCCUGGAGGAGCCAUAUGGGCUUUCAGGUCAGACAUUCCUAAACUUCCAGGGCUCUGGAUGCCUCCUUCCCUUCAUCGCAGCCCCCACGGGGCUGUCCUGAAACUCCUAGGUGGGAGCACUUCCUCUCUUCCCUGCGACCCUCCGCUUCAUCUGCACCUGCCUCACCUUCAGAAUCAAGAAGUCUCCAGCUCCUCCUGCCUCCCCCUGGGACCUGCCCUUCUCCCAGCCCUUAGUGGGAGACAGAACCCCAUACCUAUUGAGGAUGUGAAGAGCUCAGACCUCUGGAGGAUUAGAGAGCAGGGCUUCUAGGAAGUCUCUCAUCCCAGGGAUCUUGCUGACUCAGUAGCUUUCCUGCCCCUCCUGCCAUGCCCGCCCAACCUCAGUAGCUGCUGGAGGGGAUUUGUAUGCCAUCAGGAUUUUGUAAAGAAAAGAGGGUGUGUGUUGGUAAGGAAGGAAGAAGCCAACAUUUAUUAAGGUCCUAUUGUGUGGCAGGCACAUUCGCAAGCAUCGCUUCCGGCCAGCCCUUGGCCCUGUGAGGUGCACUUGCAUUGAGCCGUCAUUGUGGGGAUGAAAUAUGGUGCAGCCCGGGAGACUCCUGAGGGACAAGUCAGCAGUGUGAGGAGGGGACAGAGGCCAGCCUGGUUUCCCAGCACAAAGAAAGAGGAGCCUGGGGGCAGGGAGCAUCCAGCUUGGGGAGGGCCUACAGAUCAGGGGUGGAGUUUGACUUCUUUCUGGGAGUUUGACUUCUUUCUGGGACAGCAGGAAGCGCGUUAAAGGGCCAGGCGAGUUUGAGAGAGGAUCAAAUGAACUCUUCGGAAGGACAUGGCCGUUGAGUGGAGAUGGGGGUCAGAGGGACCUCCAUAAGGCUCCUUCCACUCGUGGGACCUUGAGCUGGACAGGCUUCCCCAAGACCACCCCAGGAUGAGUCACUGGGCCAGGAUUGGAAUCCAGACUCCGUAGGCGGUCUGCUGCCAGGACUCUGGGUCCUGGGAGGGAAGAGGCCGGAAGGCCAGGGCCCAGCCCGGGUCAGCAAGCACCCAUCACCCGAGCAUUGCCCGGCUGGCCCGGCUCAAAAUAGCUUUCCAGACACAAGGAAAUAUUUUAUCCCACUCCGUUUUCCCACACAAAAAAAAUAAACAUCCCCAAAUCUCAAUGGGGCCAGACUCCGAAGAGGGGGGAAGGGGAACAAGAACAUGGCUGGCUGCCCACUGAGAAGUCCGGUAUUUGUCCUUUUAGUUCCUUUCUUGGGGUCAAGACUUUGCUUCCUGAUAUGAGCGUGGAGACUCCCACUGCUUUCCCAGUGGGGACUGGCUUUCCCUUGGUGUUAGGCUGCCCUUUCCCAGGGGUCACACACCUCAGACAUUGUGAUGCAGAUGGGACAGCUGCAGGGACCAUACAUGGAAGGGUUAAGAAGCAUAUGACACAGCUCUGCCCUUGACGGGCUUACACGCCACUGGGAGGCAUGGCUGGGCUUCCUGUCUCCCUGAGGAGCUCUUGGACACUGGGGAAGAGAAGACUAAUAUUUCCUGAGAGCCAACUGUGUGCCUGGUACACACCAGGCUCUUCCAAAGACACAAUCCCAUUUGACCCUCACCAUAAGCCUUUGAGGCAGGUGAGGCUAUGAGGCUAUUAUCACUUCCCAUUUUACAGAUGAAGAAACUGAGACUUGGGGCAGGCAUGAUCUGUGCAAGGUUUCAGAACCAGGGAAUGGUAGACCGAGGACUUGAUUUUACACAGGUGGCUGUAAGGCUGCACUUGGCGUCAUGCUGGCAUUGGUAGGGCCCACCUGGAGGCUGGUGGGUGGUGAAAUGAGCCGGGGCUUGCUUGCGCACAGAGCUCCCGUUCUUCCCUUGGGUUGUGGUAAACCCAGUCCCUAGUGUCCCAGGACCUGACUGGGAAGGCAGAAAUGAGGCUGCUGUUAUGGAUUGAAUUGUGUUCCCCUAAAAGGUAAGUUGAAGUCCUACCACCCCCGACAUACCUGUGAAUGUAACCCUAUUUGGAAGUAAGUUCUUUGCAGAUGUAAUCGAGUUAAAAUGAGGUCAUUAGGAAGGGCCUCAUCCAAGAUGACUGGUGUCCCUAUAUGAAGAGGGAAGGACAAAUUGUUUUGUUUUCAUCCUCCCAGUGUGGGGUACUUUGUUAUGGCAGCCUCAGGCCAUCUAUACAGCUGGGGUCUGCCUGGGGGUCCCUCAGCCUCCUUAGGCAAAAAGGUGACCUGGAACCUGUGGGAGAGGUGCAGGGGCCAGGGCUCAGUCCUCAGCUCUGUGAGGGGAAGAGCUUUCUCCCAGUCGCAGCAUCCCAGAGGAGGGGCCUUCUGAGGUGCCGAGGGCCACGUGGCGGGAGUGUGUAUAUGGAGGAGAGGAUGGCCGUUUGAUGAAGGUGUUGGGUUGAUUGUCUCUUUCUUGUUGAUUUUUGAGUAUUAGUUUAUAUAGAUAUAUCUAUAGAAAGGUUGGCCUACUGGGUAAUGAGUUUGUUGCAAAUGUGCGUGUUGCAAAUAUGUUUCCUAGUUUGGGGCUUGCUUGUCUUUUCAUAUUCUUUAUGGCGUUUGUUUGUUUGUUUGUUUUUUAAGAGACAAGGUGUCUCCCUGCCACCCAGGCUGGAGUGCAGUGACGCGAUCAUAGCUCACUGCAGCCUUGGUCUCCUGGGCUCAAGCGAUCCUCUCACCUCUGUCUCCCAAGUAGCUAGGUCCACAGGUGCGCAUUACUGUGCCUGGCUAAUUUUAUGCAAUUUU
rnacentral:lncRNA from 1 species